AACGAACGCUGGCGGCAUGCCUAACACAUGCAAGUCGAACGAGACCUUCGGGUCUAGUGGCGCACGGGUGCGUAACGCGUGGGAACCUGCCCUUAGGUUCGGAAUAACUCCCCGAAAGGGGUGCUAAUACCGGAUAAUGUCUUCGGACCAAAGAUUUAUCGCCUUUGGAUGGGCCCGCGUUGGAUUAGCUAGUUGGUAGGGUAAAAGCCUACCAAGGCGACGAUCCAUAGCUGGUCUGAGAGGAUGAUCAGCCACACUGGGACUGAGACACGGCCCAGACUCCUACGGGAGGCAGCAGUGGGGAAUAUUGGACAAUGGGCGAAAGCCUGAUCCAGCAAUGCCGCGUGAGUGAUGAGGGCCUUAGGGUUGUAAAGCUCUUCUACCCGGGAUGAUAAUGACAGUACCGGGAGAAUAAGCUCCGGCUAACUCCGUG
rnacentral:rRNA from 1 species